AAGUCGUAACAAGGUUUCCGUAGGUGAACCUGCGGAAGGAUCAUUGUCGAACCCUGCAUAGCAGAACGACUCGUGAACAUGUAAAACUACUAGGCCUUGCGAGGAUCGAAGCUUAUGCUUGGAGACUCCUGAGGCCUCGCCGGCUUGUGUUCAUGGUCGCCCCUUUGGGUGCCCUGGAUGUCAGGCUGGCACAACUAACAAUCGGCACAACACGUGCCAAGGAAAACAAUACUUGAAGGGCCCGUGCCAUGUCGCCCCGUUUACGGUAAGCGCGUUGUGCGUGGCCUCUUUGAAACACUAAACGACUCUCGGCAACGGAUAUCUCGGCUCACGCAUCGAUGAAGAACGUAGCAAAAUGCGAUACUUGGUGUGAAUUGCAGAAUCCCGUGAACCAUCGAGUUUUUGAACGCAAGUUGCGCCCGAAGCCUUCUGGCUGAGGGCACGUCUGCCUGGGCGUCACGCAUCCCGUCGCCCCACCAACCAUCCCGUCUUGGGACUUGUUGGAUUGGGGCGGAGAUUGGUCUCCCGUGCCCAUGGUGCGGCUGGCCUAAAUAGAAGUCCCCUCAUGAGUGACGCACGACUAGUGGUGGUUGAUAAGACUGUCGUAUCGUGUCGUGCGCUCGGCUCAUGCGGGUAGAACUCUUUAAAGACCCUGACGUGUUGUCCUGUGACAACGCUUCGAUCGCGACCCCAGGUCAGGCGGGACUACCCGCUGAGUUUAA
rnacentral:rRNA from 1 species